rnacentral:rRNA from 1 species
CGUAGGGUGCGAGCGUUGUCCGGAAUUAUUGGGCGUAAAGAGCUUGUAGGCGGUUUGUCGCGUCUGCUGUGAAAAUCCGGGGCUCAACCCCGGACUUGCAGUGGGUACGGGCAGACUAGAGUGUGGUAGGGGAGACUGGAAUUCCUGGUGUAGCGGUGGAAUGCGCAGAUAUCAGGAGGAACACCGAUGGCGAAGGCAGGUCUCUGGCCCACUACUGACGCUGAGAAGCGAAAGCAUGGGGAGCGAACAGGAUUAGAUACCCUGGUAGUCCAUGCCGUAAACGUUGGGAACUAGGUGUGGGUCUCAUUCCACGAGAUCCGUGCCGCAGCUAACGCAUUAAGUUCCCCGCCUGGGGAGUACGGCCGCAAGGCUA